CGGCGGACGGGUGAGUAACGCGUGGGUAACCUGCCUCAUACAGGGGGAUAACAGUUAGAAAUGACUGCUAAUACCGCAUAAGACCACGGUACCGCAUGGUACAGUGGUAAAAACUCCGGUGGUAUGAGAUGGACCCGCGUCUGAUUAGGUAGUUGGUGGGUAACGGCCUACCAAGCCGACGAUCAGUAGCCGACCUGAGAGGGUGACCGGCCACAUUGGGACUGAGACACGGCCCAG
rnacentral:rRNA from 1 species